CGUGUAGGCGGUUUGUUAAGUCUGUUGUGAAAGCCCUGGGCUCAACCCAGGAAGUGCACUGGAUACUGGCAGACUUGAAUACGGGAGAGGGUAGUGGAAUUCCUAGUGUAGGAGUGAAAUCCGUAGAUAUUAGGAGGAACACCGGUGGCGAAGGCGGCUGCCUGGACCGAUAUUGACGCUGAGACGCGAAAGCGUGGGUAGCAAACA
rnacentral:rRNA from 1 species